CUUUCUUUGUCUAAUUGUCUUCCCAAAAGACCAACAAAACCUCCACACACACACAAACACAACAAACACGAUGAUAAGAAAGCAGCCGCAUGCUCAAAACGAAAGCCAUAAACAUAAAAGCCUCUCUCUCUCUCUCUCUCUCUCUCUCUCUCGCUCAAACAUCAAGUCAUCACGACUUUCCUUAUUUGGUUGUUCGGGGGGUGAAAGGUCGCCGUUUCGGCACUGUGGAGUUGCUCAGGAAACGUCAGUUCUCUCUCUGGCAACGUGUCACCGACAACUGUACGUCUUCUUCUGCAUGAUGCAGAGAGAGAGAGAGAGAGAGAUGGAGAAGGAGAUAAGAUCAUAAUUAAGAGCAGUAGCAGUGAAUGAAGAGAGAGAGAGACACACACACACAGAGAUGGAAGAGAAGGGUACACAGCUUUUUGGUAUUGGGUUUUGUGGAGGUUGUUUCUCUUUUUUAUUUCUUUUCUUUCUUGGCCUGCAGAGCAAACCCUAAAUCCUCAUUGACGUCUUACCCAUUGAUUUCUCUUACACCAAAACAGCAGGAACCGUAGAUUUUUGCGGCUUUUGGUAGGUUUCCUUAUAUGGGUUUCUGUCUGUGUUCUCAGAUCUGACUCAUAUAAUAUCGAUCAUUCUCUUUCUUUCCGUUUACCUUUUUCUAGUUUUGCUUUCCUCCCAGUUUCCACUCCCUUCAUUUCUUUGUUAUUAAUCAAACUUUGCGAUUUGUGACUUCAAUUUCUUGUGCCGUGGGUUGUGAAUUUGGUUGGAACAGAGAUGGAAAUUGACAGAAGAGAGUGAGCACACAGAGGCACUUGGCAUAAAGCGUAUGCUAUUGCUUUUGCGUGCUCAUGUCUCUUUCUGUCAGCUUCCCAGUUCCACUGCCCGAUUAAUUUAAUUUCUUAUUUACUUCUCAUCCAUCUCUGGCCUGUGUUUCUUCCACUACUUGUAUUUUCUCUCUCUCUCUCUCCAAAUCUUAAAUCUUAAAGCCUUUGUGGGGCUUCAAAGCAAUGCUUAAUUUGCUACUUUGAAAUCGUUGAUUUUGCAGGAAGGCUUAAGGAUUCAUUUUCGAACCGUCAACAUUAUCAAGUUGAAGUUUUUUUCGUAUGUAGAUAGAUGAUUAAUUUCGAGAUGAAAGAGGCUUUUGGAAAACCAAUAAUGACUGAGAAAGACUGAGAAUUAUAUUCAAGAUCCUCUAUUGGAAACUUCCUGCAUUAUACAAUCCUGGGAUAUUAUCGCCGUGCUGUCGAUGAUUGAUCAUCAAUAAUAAUCACCUUGUGCUGUUGGGACGUCGUUAACCUUGGAGCUAGCUCUAGUCUCUAGCAGCGGAUGAAGUCAAAACAAUAUCUUUAUAAACAGUUCGUCUAUAAAUCAUUAGCUGUAAUGUAAAAGCACAGUUUGUUUUUAUAUCUAUUUUGAUUUUUAUUUGUGAAGAAAUUCGCUUUUGGAGGUGGUUUUUCUUUCUGUUUUAGAAGCAAGGAAACAGUAAUGUGCAGAAAGUUGGCCUUCAUUGAAUAUGUAGUGAUUUCUUCUUCUC